GUCGAACAAUGGCGCACGGUAUGGAGGGAUCUGAAAAGCCGUACCAGCAUCAAGGUCCGAGACCGGAAAAGAAAGCGGGCAAUGACAAGAAACAAUCCAAUUAAUGAGGAGCCGCUCACCGAAUUGGAGAGACGAGUCAUUGCCCUUAUAGGUAAUGACUAUGUCCAGGACCACGAAAACGUUCCUGAAACGGUGCCUAUAGAGGAGGAACUGCAACUUCGAUUAGAGGAGGGU